rnacentral:rRNA from 1 species
GAGUAAUGUCUGGGAAACUGCCUGAUGGAGGGGGAUAACUACUGGAAACGGUGGCUAAUACCGCAUAACGUCGCAAGACCAAAGAGGGGGACCUUCGGGCCUCUUGCCAUCAGAUGUGCCCAGAUGGGAUUAGCUAGUUGGUGAGGUAACGGCUCACCAAGGCGACGAUCCCUAGCUGGUCUGAGAGGAUGACCAGCCACACUGGAACUGAGACACGGUCCAGACUCCUACGGGAGGCAGCAGUGGGGAAUAUUGCACAAUGGGCGCAAGCCUGAUGCAGCCAUGCCGCGUGUAUGAAGAAGGCCUUCGGGUUGUAAAGUACUUUCAGCGGGGAGGAAGGUGUUGUGGUUAAUAACCGCAGCAAUUGACGUUACCCGCAGAAGAAGCACCGGCUAACUCCGUGCCAGCAGCCGCGGUAAUACGGAGGGUGCAAGCGUUAAUCGGAAUUACUGGGCGUAAAGCGCACGCAGGCGGUCUGUCAAGUCGGAUGUGAAAUCCCCGGGCUCAACCUGGGAACUGCAUUCGAAACUGGCAGGCUUGAGUCUUGUAGAGGGGGGUAGAAUUCCAGGUGUAGCGGUGAAAUGCGUAGAGAUCUGGAGGAAUACCGGUGGCGAAGGCGGCCCCCUGGACAAAGACUGACGCUCAGGUGCGAAAGCGUGGGGAGCAAACAGGAUUAGAUACCCUGGUAGUCCACGCCGUAAACGAUGUCUACUUGGAGGUUGUGCCCUUGAGGCGUGGCUUCCGGAGCUAACGCGUUAAGUAGACCGCCUGGGGAGUACGGCCGCAAGGUUAAAACUCAAAUGAAUUGACGGGGGCCCGCACAAGCGGUGGAGCAUGUGGUUUAAUUCGAUGCAACGCGAAGAACCUUACCUGGUCUUGACAUCCACGGAAGUUUUCAGAGAUGAGAAUGUGCCUUCGGGAACCGUGAGACAGGUGCUGCAUGGCUGUCGUCAGCUCGUGUUGUGAAAUGUUGGGUUAAGUCCCGCAACGAGCGCAACCCUUAUCCUUUGUUGCCAGCGGUUAGGCCGGGAACUCAAAGGAGACUGCCAGUGAUAAACUGGAGGAAGGUGGGGAUGACGUCAAGUCAUCAUGGCCCUUACGACCAGGGCUACACACGUGCUACAAUGGCGCAUACAAAGAGAAGCGACCUCGCGAGAGCAAGCGGACCUCAUAAAGUGCGUCGUAGUCCGGAUUGGAGUCUGCAACUCGACUCCAUGAAGUCGGAAUCGCUAGUAAUCGUGGAUCAGAAUGCCACGGUGAAUACGUUCCCGGGCCUUGUACACACCGCCCGUCACACCAUGGGAGUGGGUUGCAAAAGAAGUAGGUAGCUUAACCUUCGGGAGGGCGCUUACCACUUUGUGAUUCAUGACUGGGGUGAAGUCGUAACAAGGUAACCGUAGGGGAACCUGC